CCUUGUCACUCCUUCGUCUCGUCUAUAAUAGAGAACUGGACGGAGAACUGAUAAGGGC
rnacentral:pre_miRNA from 1 species